rnacentral:sRNA from 1 species
GUUCUCCACACUUCUGGGUUGAAUAUGGAGAUUAUAAUCAGGACCAAAGUACUCAUAGUAGUCAUUAUAAGGUAACUUGUUAUCAGGUUCAACUCCAACAGCAACUGCAACCUCAUAGCACCAGCAGCGAGCAACAUUUCUGAUGGUGUAACCCCCACCUCCCAAAACCAUCAUAGGAAUAUUGAAUGACCUAAGGUAACGGAGGCAGUCUGCAUGACCUUUCACAGACAGGUUGAAGCAACCUAACCUGUCUCCAGCCAAAGAGUCGGCUCCACACUGGAGAACAACUACAUCUGGCUGAUAAACCUCCAUUACCUUUUUGAUGAUGCACUGGAACAGAUCACGAAAGGUAUCAUCAUCAAUGCCAUCACUCAGGGGCACAUUUAAAGCAUAAUGUUUUCCUUCGCCUGCUCCAACAUCAGUGAUAUGCCCAGUACCAGGGAAAAAGUCCCCAUACUUGUGAAAGGAACAAGUCAUGACUCGAUUCGUAGUGAAGAAAGCUUCCUCCACGCCAUCUCCAUGGUGGACAUCAAUGUCUACAUAUAGCACACGCUAGUGGAACUUGAGGAGCUCGAGGAUGGCGAGGACGAUGUCGUUGACGUAGCAGAAGCCGGAGGCCUCGCCCUUCUUGGCGUGGUGGAGGCCCCCCGCCCAGUUGACGGUGAUGUCGGCGUCGCCGCGGUUGAGCUUGACGGCGGCGCCGAUGCUGCCCCCCGCGGAGGCCUGGCAGAAGGGGAAGAGGCCGUCGAAGACCGGGCAGUCCUCGCCGACGUUGAAGCGCUUGACGGCGCGGGCGUCGAGCAGGGCGGGGUUCCCGGUGGCGGAGGCGAGGAAGGCGACGUAGUCGUCGGAGUGGAAGCGGCGGAUGUCGGCGUCGGAGGCCGGGUAGGGGCGGGAGAGCUCGAGGAGGCGGUGGAGGCCGUAGUGGACCACCAGCGAGUGCGCCAUGCGGAUGCGAUGGGGCUUCAUCGGGUGCCCCUGCCCGUAGUAGUAGUCCCCGAUCGACGGCUCGUAGAAGUAGCUCACCCGCCGCCGCCGCCCGUCCUCCCC